ACGAUGGCCGACCGGGCACCUGCCUGGCUGUAGGAGGCCUCUAGAAGGGAGGAGAAAGUCCUGGCAGUCUUUGUUGAGACUGUUGAGUGCCAUGUCCUUCAAGACUGUCCCUCUUAGGCAGCUGUGUGCCCUGAUGUAUUUUGCCACUGGGGCUCAAACAAUUUGAGGAAAGGAUCAAGCUUUCCUGUAAGCAGAGUUCAGAAUACGAGCAUGGAUGAGAAUCCAGAAAAUUCUACAUGCCAUCAAUCGGACAGUCAGCCAGCUUAUUGUUUUGUUCACCGAGGCACUGUCUUUGCUCUAUGGACUUCUGCAUCUUGAGAUUCUCCACCUAGAGGUCCUGCCUGCAACUUUUGGAGGAUGGAGGAUGAAGAGCCAGGGCCAUAUUCCUGGAAGAGGCUGUGUGUUUCUGAAGGAGUUCUCUAGGCUUUCCUUGCCUUACCUUGCUUUAACCUUGCACCUGGAGAAGGAGAUGACACCUGGGCCAUCACUCCCCGUGUCUCCUACUCCAACCCUCUGCAUAAUGCUCCUGUGUCCUGGAGAGCGGUGGAGAGGGUGGCUGGGCUUUGUCAGGAAUUCUUCAGGGUACUACAUGUCAGGGAAACCCACUCACUCUUAGAGAUUUUCUCCUUACUCUAAUCCAUGGAAGAUUUAUCUUUCUUUGCUCUUUUACUAGUGAUGAAAGUAUCACAACUUCUUGCGAGGAAGAGAACAUCACCUUCUGAAAUUUAGUUCAUUUUCCUUCUUCCCAGCCUCAGCAGAAGCACUGUGACUUUGUGGCUUAUCUGACUUCUCAUGGUGAAAGUGGAAACAACGGGCUUUGUGAUUUUCUGCAUCCUAAUUGCAAAUAGAGCUCAGUUCUAUUUUUUAUUUACUUUAUCACUUCAGUUUCUGGAUAUCUAUCCAUGCAGUUGAGAUGGGGAUAGAUUUGUGUGAGUACAAUUUAAAGUCCCUGGUCUCUUCCUGUAUUGACAGCUUCGUUUUGGGCAAUGCUCAUGAUUUCUGACACCUAACGGAUUUUCUCUCAAUUAGCUUUACAGAACCCUACGAUUUUUCCAUUGUGCAGGAAUAUGCACUGUUUCUCAGCAAGUGCAUCUUUUAUUGUUGCAGUGAGAAUAUCUUUGUGUAGGAGGAGACACAAUAUUUUAAGAGCAGUUUUAGGUUGGUGACAUCGUAAAAAAAGAGGGGCUGGAGAGUUGGGGUAGGUGCCAGAGAUGCCAUCUCUUAACAUCUAUAUGGUGUCUGCUUUGAGCCACUUUUUUCACAGUUAAUCUUGGGGACAACCCCAUGAGAUAAAUACUCUCAUGUAACACAUAAGGAAGCUGACACUUAGCAAAGGAAUUUGAACUCACUCCAGGCCAGAAUGGAGGCAGUGAGAGGCCCAUUCCUGCCAUUCACCUUGCCUUCCUCUGGACUAAUAAAGAAAUGGCAGAGAAGAAAAAAGCCUAGUGUUUAAGUGGAGAGUUUUGGAGUGAGGAUCCCCAGUAGAUUUUUAGAGAAGUGUUUCCAAAGGAUGGAAAAACUCCAAAUUUCAGAAAAUUGCUGAUAUUCAGAAAAAUAAUUAAGUGACCUACUCAAGGUGACCAAAAAAUACAUGGUUUGAUUGUGAAGUAGGGUCCUGAUGGAAAAAAUAUUGGUCUCAGAAACCAGAGCGUCCCUGAGACUGUGCACUGGGGAUCCUCCACAGGAUUUUCUCCAUUCACUGGAUUUAUAGCAGAGAAUGGACAGUGGGGCGCUGGCCACACACACACUUUCUCCAUGCCAGAGGUCAUCUGACACUCAGACUCUUUUUCCCAGCCUCUGUAGCAUACACAGGAAAAGCCAAAAUGUAAUUAGUUAAUAGCAGAUUUCCUUUGUUAGUGGAAAGGGCAUUUCAAACUUACUUACGUGAACUGAUACUGUGGGAUUUGUCAGAAACCAUCAAUACGAUGCAACAGAAAGAAUUCACAGGUCACUUGUCAGGGGGGACAAAGCUUGUCUUGCUGAAGCUUUGAGAUCCAGAGUGGCUCUGCAUAUCACUACCUCACUAGAAUACAGGAGUAACCAGAAAAAAAAGCUGGCACUCCCUUCUGAGUUCCAUCCCCAUAAUAAUAGCAAUGUAUCCAGGUUCCUUUACACCUGUAGGUAUUAUCUCAGCCACUCCUCACUAUAACUGUAGAUAUUAAUUCUGACCCUAUUUAUAUAGACUUAGGCCAACAGGCAGUCGGAGUUGAGCCUGGGAUUUGGCCUAGGACUGCCUGAAUUGUAGGUCUCAGAGGUGAACUACUUUGUUCAGGGACUUUCCACUUAGCAUUUGGGGUACUGAAACCCCUAAGAGAAGCUGCUGCUUAGAUCUAAAUGCAGAUGUUCAAUCAUCAACCUCUUUUCUUCCUGGACUCACAGGAACAGUACAUUUCCCAGACUCCCUUGCAGCUGGGAAUAGCUAUUUGACUGAGUGACAACCAAUGUACAGUGAGAAGAAGGGCUGCCUUAACUCUUUCAUAGUGUGAUCCUCACGCUGGUUAAAUGACAGUGAUUCCCUGAAAGCCGUUUGUUGAGGGUGGCUGAUCCACAGGUUAGAAGGAGCUUGGGUUUCUAUUAUUAUUAUUAUUAUUAUUUUGGUCUUUUUCGUUUUAUCGGUACCAGGGAUCAAACUCACGACUGCCUGCUUGCAAGGCAGGCGCUUAUGCCACUGAGCUAAAUCCCCAGCCCCUCUAUUCUUACUAUGAACACCCACAUCAUAUUCUUUUACUGGUUUAAUCUACUUAGAUAGGAAGCUUUUCAGUGGUAGCAACUAGUGCUAUACUAAACAAUAUAAGUACAAUCUAGCAGGCAGGUCACUGAGGUUACCGAGGAGCUAGCAAGUGGGUUUUAGAGCCCAGGGAUUUAGCUCAGCAGUGCAAACGCUUGCCUGGUAAACGUGAGGUCAUGUGUUCAAUCUCUGGUACAAAAAAAAGUCCUUCAUUUAUGGGCCAGGGAUAUAGCUCAGAGGUGUAAGUGCCUGCCUGGCAAGCAUGAGGUCUUGAGUUCAAUCCCUGAUACCAAAAAAAAAAAAAAAAAAAAGAAAAGAAAAAAAAGGAAGUGGGCCUUAGUGUUUUCUGUGGUUAACCUGCCUUGCAUGGUAAGGGUGGGUGAGUAAGCUUGGUCCCCAUUGUUGUACAGAUUCAGGUUUAGAUAUAGGCUUAGUCACAAGUUCACUGGGAGAUCUAAAAUAAUUAAAUUUUUCCAAAUAUUUCUAUUUUCCUAAAGGUUGGAAUAAUAUAUCAUUCUGCAUGAAUUUAAUUUAUUCAGAAAAAUUUAUUAAACAUUUACUCCAUGCUAGGAAAAAAAGGCAGUGAAGAAUGAUGAGAUCUCUGCCUUUUUAGCAGUUACAUUAUGACAGCAAUGAUGUUUAGGGGGGUAUGAGCAAUAAAUGAGUAAGUAAGGCUGUCAUGAGUGACUAGUACAUGGAGAACUAAUACAGUAGAGUAAGGGGAACAUGACUUUAGGUGACUGGGAGCUGUCUUUUCCUAAGGAUGUUUGAACAGAGAUCUGAAGACUGGAAGGGGGUGGCCACGCAGGUGUCUGGUAAAGUGUGGCUGGGCAGAAGGAAGAUUAGCAACGUGGCUGGUGGGAGCAGAGCCACGAGGGCCAGGGAAGUGGGAUGAUGUUGGAGAAAGCACCCAGCAUUCUGCCUGCGUGGAUGCGGGCUUUCCAUAAAUGUGAAGGUCCUUCCUGGUUGAUGGCCUCCUGGUUUCCUGGGAAAUUCUCACUGCUAACAAGAAUAAGAACGACAACAACAAUGAAAAGCAAACCAAGCAUAAAGUUCUCUCAUGUCUGAAAUGGCACCAGAAUGCAUGGUCUUUUAGCCUGAAGCUCAGUUCCUGUAUCGCACAGAUCUUCCUGUUAAAGGACACUGUUCUAAGCUAGCUCAGUUAUUAUAUCUGAGUAGGUUGAUGGCAAAUUUGACAGAGCUUAGUAAGGGAGAAAGGGCAGAUGGAUUUGAGUGUCUAGACAGGUAUAAAAAUGGAGAUACAGUCAGGGGAAGGAGAGGAAAGAGGGUGCGAGGAAGCUUAAGCCAGCCCUGAGGUCACAUUUUGAAGCUCCUCUGUAUUGUAGUUUUAGGUGCCCAUCAAAGGAACUUCAUCUGCAGACAGUAUUGAUUCAAAGAAAGGCUUGCCCAUCACACACAAGGUUGUCUUGUAUUGAAAGAAUGAGUUCCCUGUCACCCCAAGAAGGGAUGACCCCCACCCUUAACCCUGUUGCUAAAGACCAACAGAGGAGAGAGCCCCCACAAAGCGCCAACAAGAGUCAAAGGUCCACUUGCCUCUAGGCUACUGUUCUCUCAGCUUUCCAAACAUCCUUUGUCAGAAUUCUUGGUUUUAAGCAACAACAACAACAAAAAAAACUCUGUUUCAAGAAUAAAGUGGAUUUAUUAGAUAA